CGGCCCGAAACGUCAGCUUUUGUGCUCCUGAGAUGCUGCUGGGGCUGCUGUGUUCAUCCAGCCUCACACUUUAUUAUCUUGGAUUCUCCAGCAUCUGCAGUUCCUACUAUCUCUAUCUCGAUGGCUCGGUUUCGAUUUUUCAUUUGUGAAGCAGCACCUAAGGGCAUUAAGGCGCGAUUGAAAGGCAAUUGGUGGAACACCCUCACAGCCAUCGCAAAAGGGAAGAGAGAUAACAAGGUGUGGAGCUGGAUGAACACAGCAGGCCAAGCAGCAUCAGAGGAGCAGGAAGGCUGGCUUUUCGGGCCUAGACCCUUCUUCACAACCAUCGCAAAGGGAAUGCUAUUCUGAUAACGUACACCAGGUUUGAAAUUCACUGUAACACCGUACCACACUCUACUUAGAGUCUUUCCAAGGAUUUUAUACAAAAGAUCUAGUCAGCACCGCCACUACAAUAAUUGUCUGCAUUUGCGUAGCACCUUUAAUGCAGCUCAACUUAAAAAAAUGGCCCCGAAGUGUUUCGCUGGAGCGACUGAAAACGUAUUACACUGCGCCGCAUGUUUUCGAUCAGAGGGCUGAAGCUUGGCCAAAGACGUAGGGUUUGAGGAGGGAUUUAAAGGAGGAGAACAAGGCAGAGAAGCACAGAUUUCCAAAGCCUUAUGGCUUAUUGGCUUCCCGAAUCAACCUGUUUAACGAUGCUAUGCCAUACCCCUGGAGCAGGUGGGACUUGAAUGUGGGCUUGCUGGCUCAGAGAAUAAGACGAGCUGAGACACUGGAAUGGAGAAGUGGCCUGACCUCUCGUUGCAAUGUACCUACGCUUCGUAGAGUCAUCACAUCCCUACCAGGUGGAAGCAGGCCAUUCAGCCCAUCCAGUCCACAUCGACUCUCUGAAGGGCAUCCCACCCAGACUCCAUAGACCUGCGUUUCCCAUGGCUUAUCCACCUAACCCGCACAUCUUUGGACUGCGGUAGAAACUGGACGCAGACAGAGGGAGAUUGGACAAGGUCCACACAGCCAGUCACCUGAGGCUGGAAUCGAAGCGUGUUUCCUGGUGCUGUGAGACAGCAAUGCUAACCCCUAAGACAUCAUGCUGCCUCACCUGUAGUUGUCAGGUAGAUCUGUGACUCCAAACCUGAGUAUCAGUAAAAGGGGGAGCUUAUCCUGACCUCCCA